UACGAAGGGGGCUAGCGUUGCUCGGAAUGACUGGGCGUAAAGGGCGCGUAGGCGGACGUCUUAGUCAGGCGUGAAAGCCCUGGGCUUAACCUGGGAACUGCGCUUGAUACUGGGAGUCUAGAGUGGGGAAGAGGGUCGUGGAAUUCCCAGUGUAGAGGUGAAAUUCGUAGAUAUUGGGAAGAACACCGGUGGCGAAGGCGGCGACCUGGUCCUAGACUGACGCUGAGGCGCGAAAGCGUGGGGAGCAAACAGG
rnacentral:rRNA from 1 species